rnacentral:rRNA from 1 species
AGAGUUUGAUCCUGGCUCAGGAUUAACGCUAGCGGCAGGCCUAAUACAUGCAAGUCGUACGGUAACAGGUCCAGCAAUGGAUGCUGACGAGUGGCGCACGGGUGCGUAACACGUAUGCAACCUACCUUUGACUGGGGGAUAGCCCCGAGAAAUCGGGAUUAAUACCCCAUACAAUUAUGAUGAGACAUCUCAUUGUAAUGAAAGCUCCGGCGGUCUUAGAUGGGCAUGCGCGACAUUAGCUAGUUGGUGAGGUAACGGCUCACCAAGGCUGCGAUGUCUAGGGGUUCUGAGAGGAUUCACCCCCACACUGGUACUGAGACACGGACCAGACUCCUACGGGAGGCAGCAGUAAGGAAUAUUGGUCAAUGGACGCAAGUCUGAACCAGCCAUGCCGCGUGCAGGAAGACAGCCCUACGGGUUGUAAACUGCUUUUGUACGGGAAAAAACCUCCGGUCGUGCACCGGAGCUGAUGGUACCGUAAGAAUAAGCAUCGGCUAACUCCGUGCCAGCAGCCGCGGUAAUACGGAGGAUGCAAGCGUUAUCCGGAUUCAUUGGGUUUAAAGGGUGCGCAGGCGGAAUGAUAAGUCAGUGGUGAAAUCCUACGGCUCAACCGUAGAACUGCCAUUGAUACUGUCGUUCUUGAGUACACUUGAAGUGGGCGGAAUGUGUCAUGUAGCGGUGAAAUGCUUAGAUAUGACAAGGAACACCGAUCGCGAAGGCAGCUCACUAAAGUGUUACUGACGCUCAGGCACGAAAGCGUGGGGAUCAAACAGGAUUAGAUACCCUGGUAG